AAUCAACGCGGGCGGCGUGCCUAACACAUGCAAGUCGAACGAGAAAGGGUAGCAAUACUGAGUACAGUGGCGCACGGGUGAGUAACACGUGACUAACCUACCCUAGAGUGGGGGAUAACUGAGGGAAACCUUAGCUAAUACCGCAUAAUACCUACGGGUCAAAGGAGCAAUUCGCUUUGGGAGGGGGUCGCGGCCGAUUAGUUAGUUGGCGGGGUAAUGGCCCACCAAGACAGUGAUCGGUAUCCGGCCUGAGAGGGCGCACGGACACACUGGAACUGAAACACGGUCCAGACUCCUACGGGAGGCAGCAGUGGGGAAUUUUGCGCAAUGGGGGAAACCCUGACGCAGCAACGCCGCGUGGAGGAUGAAGUACUUCGGUACGUAAACUCCUUUCGAUCGGGACGAUAAUGACGGUACCGGAAGAAGAAGCCCCGGCUAACUUCGUGCCAGCAGCCGCGGUAAUACGAGGGGGGCAAGCGUUGUUCGGAAUUAUUGGGCGUAAAGGGUGCGUAGGCGGUUUGGUAAGUCUCUUGUGAAAUCUAUGGGCUCAACUCAUAGACUGCAAGGGAAACUGCCG
rnacentral:rRNA from 1 species